rfam:Melissococcus plutonius ATCC 35311 DNA, complete genome.
UGCCCUGAACAUGGCGUAAAACUGUUUGUCUAUGUGAGGCAACCACGUAAAAAGCGUA